CACGGGGGGAGCAAGCGUUGUUCGGAAUCACUGGGCGUAAAGGGUGCGUAGGCGGGUUCUUAAGUCAGAGGUGAAAUCCUGGAGCUCAACUCCAGAGCUGCCUUUGAUACUGAGAGUCUUGAGUUCGGGAGAGGUGAGUGGAACUGCGAGUGUAGAGGUGAAAUUCGUAGAUAUUCGCAAGAACACCAGUGGCGAAGGCGGCUCACUGGCCCGAUACUGACGCUGAGGCACGAAAGCGUGGGGAGCAAACAGG
rnacentral:rRNA from 1 species